UAGGGAAUAUUGGGCAAUGGGCGCAAGCCUGACCCAGCCAUGCCGCGUGCAGGAUGAAGGCCUUAUGGGUCGUAAACUGCUUUUGUACGGGAAAAAACUCCUGAUUUCGUAUCAGGACUGAUGGUACCGUGCGAAUAAGCAUCGGCUAACUCCGUGCCAGCAGCCGCGGUAAUACGGAGGAUGCAAGCGUUAUCCGGAUUUAUUGGGUUUAAAGGGUGCGCAGGCGGAGUGAUAAGUCAAUAGUGAAAUCCUACGGCUUAACUGUAGAACUGCUGUUGAUACUAUCAUUCUUGAGUACACUUGAAGUGGGUGGAAUGUGUCAUGUAGCGGUGAAAUGCUUAGAUAUGACACAGAACUCCAAUUGCGAAGGCAGCUCACUAAGGUGUUACUGACGCUCAGGCACGAAAGCAUGGGGAGCAAACAGG
rnacentral:rRNA from 1 species